CAGCCGCCGCGGUAAUACCGGCGGCCCGAGUGGCGGUCACUCUUAUUGGGCUUAAAGCGUCCGUAGCCGGGUUGGGAAGUCCUCCGGGAAAUCUGGCCGCUUAACGGUCAGAAUGCCGGAGGAUACUCCCAGCCUAGGGAGCGGGGGAGGCCGAGGGUAUUCCCGGGGUAGGGGGGAAAUCCUAUAAUCCCGGGAGGACCACCUGUGGCGAAGGCGCUCGGCUGGAACGCGUCCGACGGUGAGGGACGAAGGCCAGGGGAGCAAACCGGAUUAGAUACCCGGGUAGUCCUGGCUGUAAACGAUGCGGACUUUGUGUCGGACAAGCUAUGAGCUUGUCCGGUGCCGGAGGGAAACCGUUAAGUCCGCCGCCUGGGGAGUACGGCCGCAAGGCUGAAACUUAAAGGAAUUGGCGGG
rnacentral:rRNA from 1 species